rnacentral:rRNA from 1 species
GACGAACGCUGGCGGCGUGCCUAAUACAUGCAAGUAGAACGCACAGUUUAUACCGUAGCUUGCUACACCAUACACUGUGAGUUGCGAACGGGUGAGUAACGCGUAGGUAACCUGCCUGGUAGCGGGGGAUAACUAUUGGAAACGAUAGCUAAUACCGCAUAAUAUUGAUUAUUGCAUGAUAAUUGAUUGAAAGAUGCUAUUGCAUCACUACCAGAUGGACCUGCGUUGUAUUAGCUAGUAGGUGAGGUAACGGCUCACCUAGGCGACGAUACAUAGCCGACCUGCGAGGGUGAUCGGCCACACUGGGACUGAGACACGGCCCAGACUCCUGCGGGAGGCAGCAGUAGGGAAUCUUCGGCAAUCGACGAAAGUCUGACCGAGCAACGCCGCGUGAGUGAAGAAGGUUUUCGGAUCGUAAAGCUCGGUUGUAAGAGAAGAACGGGUGUGAGAGUGGAAAGUUCACACUGUGACGGUAUCUUACCAGAAAGGGACGGCUAACUACGUG